GGGCAGCGACGACAUCUCCUCCACGUCUCUUCAAUUUUUGGCGCGAGCCUUUGCUCGGCCGACGUCGGUUUCCUGUGCUGAAUACCUAUUGCGAUGGCAUUAUGUCGGCUAUGUUUGUCCCCUUCCCACCUUGUUCCGCUGCUCCACGUNNGCGUGCGGUGCGGGGCGGGCCAAAUCGCGCGCGUCGUGUGUCGCACCGCGUUCGCCCCUUGGGGCGUUCGGGUUGUCGACCCACGACGUGUUGCUCGGUCUCUCGGGUACGGUGCAUCAUGUGGGUACGAGGCCAUCGGCCUCCGAGCACACAAUCAAGCGUUCUACGCUUGCGAACGACCGUCGCUCGCUCUUUGG
rnacentral:misc_RNA from 1 species